rnacentral:rRNA from 1 species
GAUGAACGCUGGCGGCGUGCCUAAUACAUGCAAGUCGAGCGAACGGACGAGAAGCUUGCUUCUCUGAUGUUAGCGGCGGACGGGUGAGUAACACGUGGAUAACCUACCUAUAAGACUGGGAUAACUUCGGGAAACCGGAGCUAAUACCGGAUGAUAUUUUGCACCGCAUGGUUCAAAAGUGAAAGACGGUCUUGCUGUCACUUAUAGCUGGAUCCGCGCUGCAUUGGCUAGUUGGUAAGGUAACGGCUUACCAAGGCAACGAUGCAUAGCCGACCUGAGAGGGGGAUCGGCCACGCUGGAACUGAGACACGGGCCAGAGUCCUACGGGAGGCAGCAGUAGGAAAUCCUCCGCAAUGGGCGAAAGCCUGACGGAGCAACGCCGCGUGAGUGAUGAGGGUCUUCGGAUCGUAAAACUCUGUUAUUAGGGAAGAACAUAUGUGUAAGUAACUGUGCACAUCUUGACGGUACCUAAUCAGAAAGCCACGGCUAACUACGUG